CACAGCUUGCCUAGGCCGUGAGAAAAUCUGAGAUAGCAAAAGCUACAGUGUCUUUGUGCCUGCUAGUUGGCUGGUAAACAGAUCGUUGUGAUUAGCAAAACAAAAGCAACUGAGAGCCACCUGUGUCAACAUAAGAAAGGAGUAAGAGGUGAAAUCAACAUUUAAGCCAGAGCCAAUAAUGAGCUUAGCUUUUGCAAUAUGUAUGAGCUAAUUAUAAAGCAUAUAUUAAGCUGUUAGCAGUGAUCAAUAAACGAAGCUUGCUGAUUCUCAUAUUGAGGGUCCCUUUCUUCCCUCGUCGUGACAUUAAUGGCGCCCGAAGCAAGGGACGAUAAACAAGGAUCCUGCUGAGUUUUGCACGGUUCCCGCGGUCUCCGAAGCUUGCACAGGGGCUAAAUUAUAUCUGCGGUCCCAGGGACUAAGUUGAAUCUGCGGUCCCCGAAACCUGAACAGAGGCUAAGUUAAAUCUGCACUCCCUGAAGCCACGGUCCGACGCAGUAGCCGGUUGGUCUUGCAGCAGCACAAGAGGCAAAAGAGCUGGACUCCGUGCCCCGGCUGACCUUACAGGAGGACCUGGCCGACGACACCGCCGACGUCUUGUAAAAGGCUGCAACAGCGCGCUGAAGAUUUAUAGGUAUGGAAAGACAAGCGGUGCUUUUAUUACUCCAGUGCUUUUUAGAAAAGCGGGGACUUAAGGGUAUAGAUCUGAAAAAAGAAUUACCAAAAUUGCUUGCGACGGGGGUUGCUAAAAGUUGUCUUGUGGACCCUAAUACAGUUUUUGAUGAAGGAGAAUGGAGACGUUAUGAGGUUAAGUUAUGGGAGGUUGCCGUGGAGACGGAGCUCGGUGUAACAUGAGAGAAGUGGAGAAGCUGCCAGGCCAGCCAGACAAGACGCCUGGACAGGGAGAAAAAGUUGCUGCUUCCCUCCUUACAACUUGGCAAUUGUUAUCUGGAACAGUAAAAGGCAUUAAAGCACAGUCUGAGGACAUUAGAAUGCUACUGGAUACCAUCAUACGGAGAAAUCGUGCAGAAAGGGAGUCGAGCGGAGUUGAAGGGAGCUGGAGCGGGGCCGGGGACAACCGAGCGGCCCCGCCAACAUGAACGUGGUGCUAGCAUCUCGGCAGUGCAUAUCCAGGACGAUCGGAGACGACGGCUGCAGUGUGAAAGUACUGCUGAUGGACCAGAGAUGAACUUUACGAACACUAUGACUGAGUUCCACCUUAAGACAUUUCCAGCUUUUCAUCUGAACUGUGCUGCAGGACUGCGCUGCGCAUUUGUGGCUGUGUUCACGGCGCUGGGUGCUUACGCCGCCGUGCUGAGCGAACCUGUGCCGGGGCCGGGUCUUUCAGCCUGUGGCGGGUGCCUACGGGGUGGUGCCGGGCAGCGAGGCAGUGGCGCUGGUCGCGGCGCCUGCGUGGCCCCGGCUCGGAGUGCUCCCAGAUGACGCAGAGCCGGGGGCUGGUGAAAUCGCUCGGAGCGGUGCGCGGCCCCGGCUCGGAGCGGUGCGCCCGCGUGCGUGCACGCCGGCGGCCCCGGUCCUGGGGGCGGCUCUGUUUCCCCCGCACUGCUGACAGCCAUGGUCCCGGGGGGUGUGCGUUCCCCUUCCCUUCUUUGCAGCGAGUGUUUUUUCCCUGGUGCCGCUCCUCUUCCUAGAGUGGCAAGUUAAUGACGGUAGCAAAAGCUUUGGGGGGUGCAGUCGGGGGAGGAGGGGAAGCUGUUUCUCUUUUUCCCCGUUACACCAAUCACCCCUUCUCUGAAACGUGCCUGUCUGCAGCUGUUCUCUCCCUCUCCUAUGUUUUUGUCUUUUCUUAAGCAGACCCUGUAAUUAAGUUAAGUUCCUUCUGCUGAUUUUCUCUGGGUGAGCCCGGCCUCUCCUUCCCCUCCUUCGUCCUUCAGCAAUGAGGGGCGUGGGGGAAGCAAAGAUGGUAAAACACGGAAAAAAAGGAAAAGAGAAAAAACAACUUAAAAUUAACAAUAUCCCAACUUAUAAAUCAAAUAAGAUUGCAUUGUUUUUACAGCAAUAGGUGUUACGCAUGCAGCGUGCUCAUGGCAUUCUCAAAUGUUUUCUUCAAAAACAGAAAGGGAGACUGACGAAAAAUCCUUUGAAGUAAGAUUAGAAAUAACGGAACAUCCGUGCUUAGCUUUUUGCAUAUUACAGAAGGUUAUUAAGAAUUUCCUAUAGUUCGCUAUUUUGCUUCUCUUACAUGAAAUUUGGCUGUUUCCCCCAGGGGCAGGGUGCAGGUAGAAGAUUUGGAGACGGAACAAUGAGACAGAAGGGGAUAUAGUCUUGCCCCCUGCAAAAGUAGUUUUAUUGCCUUUAUGACAGAAUAUCAUUGCUCUAUGAGAAGGGUUGAAGAUUUCCAAGAUAAUAUUCUGUUCUUUCUUGCUGUAUUUGUCUUUUACAUGGAGAGUUAUGCAGGAUUUGCAGAUUGCUGAUGGCGGCUAUGCCAUAAAUUUCCUUUGAAUUAUGAAACUGAUAAGAAGUGCACAGCCAAUGACUACUUGAAAAUGUGUGUGUGAUUGAGGAGAGUGUUUGAGGUGGCCACCUGAAUGUUGUGUGAAAGAGAAAAGCUACAUGAAUGUGUGACUGUGUGAACUUAAAAAUACUUUCUGCCAGUGUCAAGAUUUUAAGAGAUGUGUAACAUGAUUCUGUUGAACCAUAGUGAAUCCUUAUUCUGGAUGGUAUAUGAAUUCUUCAAAUUCCCACCAUGAGUGGUGAGGUUUUAGUUAUCUCAAGACUAGCCCUGUCUGACUAGCCAUAUGAUCUGAACUGAAGUUAAAUAAGAGGUUCUUACAAAAAUUUGGUAUUCUAUUACAGCCUUGUAUGAAAUUUAUGCAAGUUAAGUCUCAGGUGGAGUUUUUCCACUGCUGCUGUUCCUUAGCUGUGCGAGCUGCGCAGGAGAUCACUAGUUUUGGAGCGAGUAAAAACCAUAAGCCAGCAAACAUUGGUGCAGACUGCAAGGUUAGCAGAGCCCAAAGCAAGGUGCACCACUAUGCAUCCAGGUGCCCGGGAACCAUUCUUACAAUUCGUGGAAAAGCUGCAAGAUGCUGUAGAGAAACAAGUUUUGUGACAGUUACAGAAGUUGCUAGUUACAUAACUAGCUAGAGAUAACGCAGGCUUGUGCCGGGGUGAGGUCCUUAGACCAUCAAAUAAUUGCAUUUGCAUCUGCUAUGGCAGUAGUGAGGGUCGUUUUGAGCUUUUCUGUGUUUCCCAGGAUUUAAAUCAGGAGUUGUCGAUGUUGCUGCCUUGCUUGUUCAGCUCGUUGCAGGGGGGCCUUUGCAGACUGUCAAGGCCAUCCUGUGUGCCUUCUCAGAGACAUCUGCAGCAUUGUGGAUAGUGUGUCUUCAGGCCUCCUGGCUGGAGGCCAGAGCAGACCAGUUAUGUUGAUCAGUGUGACCAGAGCUGAAGUGUUGUUUUAAAGAGUCCUUAUAUAUUGUCUUCAAAACCCCUCCCGUGCAACAGCUGGUAGCAAUAUUCAUUGUAAAACGGCUAGUCUCUCCUCCUUAAAACAUGCCCUACCCAUUGCAGCUGUGUUCUCAGCAAAAUAGCCUCACUAAUUGUGAUUACUCCUUGUUUCAUACCAGACAUAUUGCUUGCAUAAUUUGACUAGUGAAUGUUUAGGGUUGUAGGAAGGCAACCUGUACUCUUCGUGAUGCUCAAAACUUGCUGUUAAUUGUCCAAACAAACAAACAAACUUCUGUAGUCAUUCCAAGAGUUAGGGUUGUGAUACUAGGAGGUACUGCUCAGAGUUUUCUUUUAGAACAUACAGAUCCUGUGUGACUUAAACAAUGGCUCCUACCUACAGAACAGCUGUUGGCCCUGCAACAGCUUGUCAAAAGGCAGCUUGAUGCUGAUUACAUUGAACCAUCUCAGAAUCCUUUGAUUACCCCUGUGUUUGUGAUAAAGAAAAAAUCUGUGAAAUGAAAACCUUUGCAUGAUCUCAGACGGGUUGGUGCAGUCAUGGUUAGUAAGCAUUGGCUUACUGACCCCUUCUGUGCUUUCUGCUGAAUAACCCAUUGUUAUUAUUGAUUUGACAGGUUAUCUUCUCACAAUCCAGUUAGAUCCCAGUGACAGAGAAAAAAAUGUGCAUUUUUAGUUCCAUCUAUUAUUCGUGCAGAACCUUACGAGUGUUAUCCAUAGAAAACCCUCUCCCAUGGAAUGAAAGGCUUUUCUAUAAUUUGUCAGUGGUUUAUGUUUCCAAUGCAAUUUUCUGACUGUCUUUGUUGUCAUUAUAUAGAUGAUAUUUCUACUAGCUGUAGCCACUGAGGAUCAGCUGGGUGUGUUGGAUGCUGAAACCAGAAAGAGUCUACAAUUCUUUGGCCUAGUAGUUGCUCCUGACACGGUGCAGUGAAAAGUACCCUGGAAAUAUUUAGGGUUCAUGUACACAAAAAGCAGUCAUUUCUCAACCAGUUUAAUUGGGUAUUAAUGUUAAAACUCUUACUGACAUACAGUAGCUAUUAAAGUCUUUAAAUUAGAUUGCAUCGUACUUGCAAUUGCCAAACACCCAGCUGGCACCUCUAUUUGACCUGCUCAAACAUUCUGACAAUUUUCAGGAGCAACAGUUGCAGGAGUGGGUGGUCUUACUCUGGCAAAAGAUACCCAAGAGUUAGAUUUAAGGAGAUCACUGUCUGUACGUAACACAAGUGAUAAUGGGACUCAAACCUGUUUUAUGUUGGGAUUAUUUCAAUCUAGAUUAAGUGUUUAUCAAAGCCACGACUUGUCCAGCUGGCACAAACUGCCUAGGCUGUACACAAAAGAACUGUAGAGCCUGGGUGAAACAGUAGAACACACAAAGAAAGUAACAGUAACAACUAGUCCUAUAGACUCGUGGCUUCAAUCUAUUUUUGGUUCUAUGUCUGAAUGGGUUUUAAGUUUUGUUAAAGAAAAGUCUACGAUGGUUGUUGACAAUUGUUGUAAUUUUAGUAAUAGUUCGUAUUGCUUUUUCUUGUAUUGUUAAACGUGUAAGUGCUAUAACAGAGAAAACAUUGUUGGCCCAGAAUAAAAAAACGGGGGUAUUGUAGGGAAUUGGCUAUAGAACACGGCUUGCCUAGGCCGUGAGAAAAUCUGAGAUAGCAAAAGCUACACGUCCUUGGGUAUUCUAAAUUGAGCUGAAGAACAGGAGCUAGGCAUUACCAAAACAGAGACACUUAACGAGCCACCUGUGUAAACAAUGAAAGACAGUUAAGAUGAUAUCACCACCUAACUGAGCACCAAUAAUGAGCCUAAUUUCUGUAAUAUUCAUGAACCUAUUAUAGAGUGUAUAUUAAGCUGUUGUCAAUCUACAAUAAACGAAGUUCCUGGAUUCUCA